ACCCUCUUGGGGUCAUAUCUGGAGAGUUUCCAGUACUCUACCAAUCUUGACUACGGGAGGGAAAGUCAAGCACAUACCCAUUCCAUUCCUAGUUUGGCCAGUGGCUAGUGAGUGGAAGUCAAUCUGCUACAAGU